rnacentral:rRNA from 1 species
UACGUAGGGUGCAAGCGUUAAUCGGAAUUACUGGGCGUAAAGGGCUCGUAGGUGGCCAACUAAGUCAGACGUGAAAUCCCUCGGCUUAACCGGGGAACUGCGUCUGAUACUGGAUGGCUGGAGUAUGGGAGAGGAAUGCGGAAUUCCAGGUGUAGCGGUGAAAUGCGUAGAUAUCUGGAGGAACACCGGUGGCGAAGGCGGCAUUCUGGACCAUUACUGACGCUGAGGAGCGAAAGCCAGGGGAGCAAAGCGGG